AGAACGAACGCUGGCGGCAGGCUUAACACAUGCAAGUCGAGCGCCCCGCAAGGGGAGCGGCAGACGGGUGAGUAACGCGUGGGAACAUACCCUCCGGUUCGGAAUAGCUCAGGGAAACUUGGAUUAAUACCGGAUACGGCCUAGCGGCGAAAGAUUCAUCGCCGGAGGAUUGGCCCGCGUCUGAUUAGCUAGUUGGUGGGGUAAUGGCCCACCAAGGCGACGAUCAGUAGCUGGUCUGAGAGGAUGAUCAGCCACAUUGGGACUGAGACACGGCCCAAACUCCUACGGGAGGCAGCAGUGGGGAAUAUUGGACAAUGGGCGCAAGCCUGAUCCAGCCAUGCCGCGUGAGUGAUGACGGCCUUAGGGUUGUAAAGCUCUUUCGCUAGGGACGAUAAUGACGGUACCUAGACAAGAAGCCCGGCUAACUUCGUGCCAGUAGCCGC
rnacentral:rRNA from 1 species